rnacentral:misc_RNA from 1 species
UCCGGUUUAUCACCGGCAGUCUCCUUUGAGUUCCCGACCGAAUCGCUGGCAACAAAGGAUAAGGGUUGCGCUCGUUGCGGGACUUAACCCAACAUUUCACAACACGAGCUGACGACAGCCAUGCAGCACCUGUCUCACGGUUCCCGAAGGCACUAAGGCAUCUCUGCCAAAUUCCGUGGAUGUCAAGAGUAGGUAAGGUUCUUCGCGUUGCAUCGAAUUAAACCACAUGCUCCACCGCUUGUGCGGGCCCCCGUCAAUUCAUUUGAGUUUUAACCUUGCGGCCGUACUCCCCAGGCGGUCGACUUAACGCGUUAGCUCCGGAAGCCACUCCUCAAGGGAACAACCUCCAAGUCGACAUCGUUUACGGCGUGGACUAC